UAGCCGCAAAUACUUUGUGCUAAGGUAGCAUAAUCACUUGUUUUUUAAUUAAAAACUAGAAUGAAUGGAUUUACAUUAAAUUUCUUUAUUUUAUCUAUUAAUUUAAUUUAAACUAAAUAUAAAAAUAUAUUUAUAAAAAAAAAAGACGACAAGACCCUAUUAAACUUAACUUUUGUUAAGCUGGGGAAGCUAUUUAAUUAACAUUUUAAUUUAAAAUUUUUAAAAAUAUCUUUUUUUAAAAAUUAAUAAAUAAGUUACUAUAGGGAUAACAGCGUAAUUUUUUUUAAAAGUUCUUAUUUAAAAAUAUAGAUUACGACCUCGAUGUUGAAUUAUUAUUCUAAUAAAAGCAAAAAUUUAUAUAAGUAGGUCUGUUCGACCUUUAAAAUAAUACAUGAUCGGAGUUCAAACCGG
rnacentral:rRNA from 1 species